AUAAAUGACAUAAAUGUGGAAAUGAAGCCCACACAGACAGGUAUGAACUGAAAAGUGUCAAUUAACUGAGGAAUCAUAUGAUGAUAAUGUCAUAA